GUAUUGGCCAUACGAGCCCAUGGUACACAAUACCAUACAAAACUAGUUUAUAACAGUGCUAGGCUGGUUAAUCUAUACAGCACGUAUACUCUUUCAUUGGCCGUUUCGGAUCGGAUGCCUUGUUUCUGUCGUAUUAAAUACAUAAAAUACAUCCCACCUUUUCGGCUGUCAUAGGCUCAUCUUUUCCCUCAGCAAGCGCUCUCUUCAUCUAUUCUUGUCAAUCGAUAUUAUUCUCUACACCGAGUCCUGCCUAAGACUGAAUACUGCCUCUAGUUACUUCACUUCAAGGAUCUCUAAGGCUGAGCGUCAUUCAACCGAAACGGCGCUUCCAGCCUUCAAUGGCCUGCUCCUGCCAUGGCAUGGCUCUUAGUUAGGCUCCCACACCUGACCUCGCAAUAUACCAUAUAAACCAAUGAAUUGAAUCAUAACGAGCACCAGACUUGAUCAUUACUAUAAGCAAAACAGGCCGUCUCUGUCUCAACAGAACUGUGUCUUCAACCUAGACUGCUCAACUUGUGAUGGUUCUUGGUACCGGUAAUCCUCCGUGUCCGACCUGAGCGAUCUCGAUUUUCACUCCUUUCGGUUAUGAUCGUCUCGUCACUACAGAGUGUAACUUACAAUAGAAAUAAACCUGGUCCAAUCAGUUUAUCAAGAGUCGGACGUUACACUCCUGACUAAACCGCUGCGAACACCCAGCAAGCAUGACGUACACUAUGUAGGGACCAGAUCCUCCACUUCUAGUACGACUACGUAGUAAUCACAACGUUCAAGUUGUAUGUUAGCACCGGGGGUAUUAUUGUUAUGAACUGUCUUGUGAAUGCCGUUAUCAUGGCAUCGAGCAAGUCCUCGAUAUUGCCGUCAUAGUCACAGGAACAAUCACCAUGUCGAUAUUUCACACCUAGGUAAGACAUACCCCCAGGUGUUUGAGCAUUUGACAAAAUCCCUAACUUAUCUUAUACCAACAUAUCUUACAAAUCUCAUGUUGUAAUAAAUCCAAACUCUUUAACAAAUAACCCAAAUAAGCUUAAAGUUCACUUGUACAUUUAGAAAAAGAAAAGAAAGAGGUAGUGUGGACGGAUAGACUUGAAGAAGCGCACUUGCCGAUCAACUAAACCAACGGACUGAUUUGAGUGACAUGCAUAAAAAUUGAUAAUCUUCGUGUAUGUCUGACAAGAUCUUUUCCAUGAUCAUUAUUUUUCCGUUUUCCGUUUUCUUUUUUCCUUUUUUGCUUUUUUCCUUUUACCAUUGCGUACCUAGGUAAAUAAGACAGUGCGACCCUUUUCCCGUAGUCAGGUUAUAUGGUUACAUAACAUUUUAUUCGGAUGCAAAUAUAAGGAUGUCUCGGAUAAUCUCUUCUCCUUUGAGUAUUUUUUUGGCGCUAUUGUGUAAAGUGACUUGCUUGAUGAGCACGUCGGCUGAUAAUGGCAUUCUUACACAAGUCACGGCCCACGAGACGUUACCAAAUAAACGAUGGAAAGAACGAAUGACCCUAAGCUCAAACUAGUUCAACAGAAAAUAUGCAUUUGUAGCCAAUCGUAUAUAUACUGUUGCAUCGCCUUGAUUGGUCGGCCAGAAAAAGAUCAUGGUGUACGGCAUGAUUGGACACGAGACCUCGUUGAGGUCUUGCACGCGGGCGGUUUGAUCAACUCUGUUGGUUUAGCGUGGAAUUUGGCGGACUUCAAAGUGACUCUGAAACUGUCAAUAUCAUCUGAGACACAAUGCUUCGUUGAACUGUAUGUAAAUCGAGAAUUCACCAAGUUGUGGGAGAUUUGUAUGUAGAAGGAUCAUGGAUGGAAUCUUUGAACGGUUCCAUGGAUUACGCAAAGGGACGGCCCGUCCGAUGAGGGCCGAGUGGAGCACCCCCUGAACGAGCCAAUAGAAAUGCACCAUCUUGGUAUGCUCAUUGUAUGUAUGACCAUUUAAAUCCACGGCCAUUUCCUGUAAUCCUUUGUAAUCUUCCCCCUCCUAACUGUUACCCCUCCAAGUAAGAACUACAUCGGAGGGGUGAUGGAUAUCUUGGACCCAUACUCACCUACGCAAGACAGGAUCGUGUAAGGCCAUGUAUGGGACAGUCAAAAGAGUAGUUCUCCCAGGUACCAUAUCACCAUCCAAUAAACAUGCAUCUCCAAACGUGACAGCCCUGCUCGAGAUUCAUCCUGUAUCUCGCAUUGAUCAUAUCCACAAACCCGUCAGGAUCAAAAGAUCCAAAAAGUCUGUCCCAAUAUGUAAUAGCCUAGCUUGAAUCUCGACCAUCUGGUUGGAUUGGAUUUAUGCGCAGGGACCAUUUGUUACCCUUACCUUUCUGCUCCUUGACUGGCUUAUGGACGACUAUAUGCCAGUGGCUAGGGUUAAUCAAACGAGUGUGCUAGCUAAUAGUUCAACCGUCGAAUCUUCAUCCAAUCCGAUGCCAGAGCCUUGUCUCAUAAGGCAGCAGUAAUAAUCAAAGUUUGGCAUUGCUGUAGUGAGGCAGCCCCGAUUUGGGCUUUCAUGCCCGUUGGACUUUGGAACCGCGCUGGUGGGAAGAGAGACUAGACCUAGCUUUGGACCCUUGCUCAAACUUGUCGGAGUCUUUGAUAUUACCGAUAUGAUCAUGAUGAUGGGUGUCCGUAUUCUCGGAGAUAUUCGAAGAAUAAAGAUAGCCGAAAAGCUGAAAACUAGACGAUCGAGAUUCUCAAAAAUCCGGCCUAUUGUGGCCUGUAGAUGAAACGAAGCCUCAUUCUGUCUGAAUUAAGCCAUUUUCGUUAUUUCCCUCAGUAUCAAUGUGCUAAACGCAAACGUCAUUUGAUCUGAGGGUUUUCUCCUGAUGAGAUUAGAAUUGAACCAUGUACAGACCCAGCUUGGACAUUUCCUGGAGCGGAAUGAAGAGACGUACAUCCGCGCCUUUGAAUCUGAACUGUCUCGUGGAUCAUAUCUAGCCAACUAAUUAUGAAGCAGUGUAUCUUUCUCUAUGUAUGAAUUGGUAUUUGAUACUUGGGUUCGUAGACAGUGCCUUUAUUGGAUAAUAGUACUAUUCUCAUCUUAUGAUUCCCCGUUUGGUCCACUACGACCGUGCUCAGGAUGU
rnacentral:lncRNA from 1 species